UUGGUACUAAGCCAUGUGAGUCGUUGCAGCAAUGCAAGGCAGACGGCUCAGUAACACGUAGUCAACCUAACCUAUGGACGGGGAUAACCUCGGGAAACUGAGAAUAAUACCCGAUAGAUCAUGAUACCUGGAACGGUUUAUGGUCCAAAUGAUUUAUCGCCAUAGGAUGGGACUGCGGUCUAUCAGCUUGUUGGUGAGGUAAUGGCCCACCAAGGCUAUAACAGAUACGGGCUCUGAGAGGAGGGGCCCGGAGAUGGGUACUGAGACACGGACCCAGGUCCUAUGGGGCGCAGCAGGCGAGAAACCUUUGCAAUGUGCGAAAGCACGACAAGGUUAAUCCGAGUGAUUCCUGCUAAAGGAAUCUUUUGUUAGUCAUAAAACCACUGAUGAAUAAGGGGUGGGCAAGUUCUGGUGUCAGCCGCCGCGGUAAUACCAGCACCUCGAGUGGUCAGGAGGUUUAUUGGGCCUAAAGCAUCCGUAGCCGGCUGUUCAAGUUUCCGGUUAAAUCCACACGCUUAACGUAUGGGCUGCCGGAAAUACUGUUCAGCUAGGGAGUGGGAGAGGUAGACGGUACUCGAUAGGAAGGGGUAAAAUCCUUUGAUCUAUUGAUGACCACCUGUGGCGAAGGCGGUCUACCAGAACACGUUCGACGGUG
rnacentral:rRNA from 1 species